rnacentral:misc_RNA from 1 species
AUGGAGGAAUUGUAACUCUCCCAACUCCUUGACAAGUUGGACAUACUUUUGGAGUUGAAUUCAAUGGAUAGCCCAAACCACUGCAAGAAUCACAUGGUACAUCUGCAUCAAAUGAAAGAUGUUUUGUGCAUCCUUUAGCAGCUUCAGAAAAAGAGAGAGAAAGCUCCACCUGAAUGUCUUGCGUCAGAUUUUCAGCCUCAUUUUCAAAUAUCUCAGAAAAUAUUUUCUGAAACGAACCAGAGAAUUGUGUGCUAUAUGUAUAUCUAAAAUCAUUGCCAUUCCUAUGAUUAUAAUUUAUAUUUUCUGUGUUGUUGCUUGGUG